GCCUAUUUCUGCUACCAUGUAAUAUAAUUCUCCAUCGUGAAUAUUGUGAUAAAGCUAAUGAAAACUCUAUGCCAUCACGUACUCUAUCUAGAUCGGUAGAGCA